AGAAACUUCCCGGCCAGCUCCACCCAGAAGAGAGAGCAGAUGGAAAAUUGGAGCAAGCCCUCAUCUUGGGUCAGGGAAGAAAAGAUUCUUUUUUUCCCCUUCUCUCUAAAAAUAUGCUCAGGGCUUUUUUGAGCCUUGAUGCAAUAGAAACCAGCUGUGGCCCAGAACGCCCCCGCAGCCACUGCCCAGGGAAAAGGAAAACAGAAACAGCCAUUGGAGGCGGGAUCAAUGCCUGUGUUUGGGCUCCAGGCCCAGCCUCUAGCCACCUCUGGCCUGGAAUUGUGUCCCAAAUGGGCACCAAACAGUCCCUGUUUAUUCGUCCUGUUGUGGGCUCAGGGCCCCAGGAGUCACUUAGCCCUUCCUCUUUCAAUUCUUGGCGCAGAGGAUGAGAAGAUGACAAGAAGUGGGCGUUUCUUAAACUCUGCACCCAGGCCUGCUGCUUCCUGGACCAACUCUUCCAUGGCCCUGGGUGUCACCCAGUGUUUCUGGAGCCUCUGAGUGGUGCCCGCUGCCUGGCAGCAGCCCCUGGAGGUGGUCACGGUGUCUACAAUUCCAUCACCAGAUCUUCCAUUUCCAGGAGUAACCCUGGGCAGGUGUAUACCAUGUGUCUUGUUUACAGUGGGGAUUAAUAGUUCAAGGAGCCCAAGGAGGGAAGGACCGGAUGUACUCUGCAAUCCCAGAAAACUCAAUGGGCUGAGGCAGGAGGACCUACUGGCCAUUGAAGACUGUCCACUCCUGGUCCAGAUUCCAAGUGACCAGGCAGAAAGAGCAUGGACUUUGGAGUUUGAUUGCCUGGCUUUAAAUCCCCCUGCUCCACUCGCUACUGUGGUGUGGACUCAAACUUGAGGUACAGUCAUCCUAUGAAGGAUCAGAGCUGGAAAGUGGGGGCCUGGCUCAGGGAGCAGCAGAACCAGAGCAGAAGCUGAGCUGGAGAUGCCCUGAUGGGGCCGAGGUGGAGGCUCAGGCCUGGGAUGGGCAGUUGGACCAGCAGGUCCAAAACAGCAGAAGCCAAGGCAGGCAGCGGUCUUGGAGAUGCCCUCUGACCUGCCGUGGACUGGAGCCUCUAAGAUGCUUCCUCCUGAGGCUGGAGCUGAUGACUGGCAUCCUUGGGAUGUAACCUGCGUGCAGCCGGCAGAUUCAACAAAUAUUCAUGCUGGAAUGGGAUGCAGAAGUCACCUACUUUCAGAGAUGGGGAAACUGAGACCCAGAGAGGGCACAGCCUUUUCUCGGGGGCCUCCAGUGACUCAGAGUCAAAUCUGUGCUUCUUGGCUCCUGGAUCUCUGAGCUGCACCCACUGGACCCCUAUGCCAACCCCAGCACCCCUGUUCUCCAUGGCGGCCCCGCCCUGAGGAUUUCCUAUGCCUUUCUACAGAGCUUUCUCCUUCUCCUAGAUCCCUUUUCUGCAAAACGAGGCUGGGGAGUUCUGAGCCAAGCCCAGGCCCACGUGCCUGGAACCAGAGACAGCGUAAGGAGCAGACACUGCCAGGUCACUUGCAGCAGACUCCAGGAGGAAAUGAGGGAAACAGAACCUCAGCCGUAGCCUAGCCAGGGCUCUCAGAGCCUAGAAAGCUCUUAGGAGAAGUGGAGAGUUGUUCAGAUCCAGGCUAAUUUGUCAUCUCCAGCCCUUCUCUGGUGAUCAGCUUGCCUCUUCCUCUACCUGCCCCUAUAGGUAGAGGAAGCUUGCCCUUCCUCUCCUGCAUCUUCUCCUCCCCUUUCUGUCACAUGCCUUCUGCUUCUUGAGGCCUCUGCCUCAUUGUAGUUUCUCUUGCUGUCCAGUUCCGGUGAGCUCAUGGCUUCUGUAGCCCAGUUUCUCUUUGCUUCCCUUUGUGAAUCUUUCCUGCUUCGACUCUCACUCCCAACUUCUUAACUUACACUCAAUGCUCCCAGAGGGAGGACUUGAUUGGUUUGGAAGUCCCCCACCAGGACAGGCCAAGGAUUAAGUGAGUUCUUAUAUGAGGUCUCUGAUUCCCUAACUCCAGCUAGGUGUUCAAUUAUUCAGUUCAAUUCUGACACCAACUCCAGGAGUUAGUGCAGACCCCAAGGUUUAGGGCUCAGCCCCACAGGGCUGUCCCCCUUUAGCCACCAGUCACACACAAGUCCAGGGACCAUCUGUACAUCUGACUGCCUGGCUCUGAAUUUCAGGGUUCCCAUAACCUCCCCUUCUAGUUAGAUCAUUCACUAGAACAAUUCACAAAACUCAGCAAGUGCUUUACUUACUAUUACCAGUGGAUUAUAAAGGAUACUACUCAAGAACAGACUCAUGGAAGAGAUGCAGGGAACAAAACAUGGGGGAUUUGCACAAAGCUUCCACGCCCUCCCAGCGAGUCCCUGUGUUCACCAGCCCUGAAGCUCCCAAACCCUGUUGUUUAGGGGUUUUUCUUGCAGUUUCAUUAUGAUGGAUUAAAUCAUUGGCCAUUGGCGAUUGAAUUCAAUCUCCAGCCCAUCUUACCCCCAUGGAGGCUGUAGGGGGUGUGGGGGUAACCAGCCCUCAUCAUGAAGCUCUCUAGGGCUCCUCCAUAAGUCAUCUCAUUAGCAUAUGAAAGGCAAUACGUUCAGGGGUUUUAGGAGCUCUGUGCCAGGAAUUAGAGACCAAGACCAAAUAUUUAUAUUUUAUACCACACCAGGCCACUUCUCAGCCCACUGGCCAACUUCAAGAUUGACUGCUGUUAGGUCACAAUACCCACUUGGCCAGGGGUAGAGAUCACUCAGUAUCAUGUGUGGUGUAAGCUGUUGAGAUUAGGCAUAGACAGUGGCAGGUGACUGACGGGCUGGACAACUGACAGAUGCUCACCUUGGCCAGUGUAGGCACAGAUAGGGCAGGACCCCAUUUGUUUAAGUGUUCCAUCCUCAGAAAUCCCCUCUCCCCCACUUCUUCCUUCUCUUCAUUCCUUCUUUGCUAUUUUUAAAUGGCACAUUGGAAAUAAAACAAUUGUCAAUGUAUUCAGCCCUCCCGCAGCGGGCUGCCAAUCAGCACAGUCCAGCCUACCUCCGCUUCCAUUCCCUCCACCUUAGCCCUCACCUCCCUCUUUGCUCUUGCCCCCGUCUCCGGGCACUCAGGUCUCUGUUAGUUUCUCAACAGCUUUGCAUAUGCUGUUCCCUCUAUUUGGAAUGCUCUUCCCCAUCUCCCACCCCUGGCUGGCUUUUCCUGGCCACCCACUCUGAAUGAUGCGCUCCUCUUACAUAUGUGCCCUGUGUGUUUCUUUACUGAUACUUGUCAGCCUGCUGAUCGACUUAUUUGCACAAACAUUUAAUAAAUCACUGGACCGUCUGCUGUAGGCGGGCAGAGAUCAGAUCUGUUUUGUCUUGCUCAGUACUGUGCAAUAACACCUAGAACAGGCCUGGCUUGGUAGAUAGCUAUUGAAUAAGUGAGUGAAUGGAUGAAUGUCAUUGAAUCAGAGAUGAUUAUGAUUCACAAAGGCUUAUAUGUAUGAGUGAAUUUGAAAAAAUAGAAACAACUUGAAUAUUCAAUAAUAGCCAAUUAAAAAUAUAGUAACCUACAAUGGAAUUUGCAUGGCA
rnacentral:lncRNA from 10 species